UCGAUAUGGCGUUUGUUCCACUUGAAACAAGGGUAUUUACACUGCACAGUCCUAAGGCGUUCAGCAUGUUUUAUCGCACCUCAGUCAGGGCUCCAGAGCGAAUCGAGUUCAUGGAGAAACUUGCAGAACAGCUGGCUACGUUAUGUGCAGCCCUAGGGGAGUACCCUAGCGUCAG